rnacentral:rRNA from 1 species
UACGAAGGGGGCUAGCGUUGUUCGGAAUCACUGGGCGUAAAGCGUAUGUAGGCGGGCUUUUAAGUCAGGUGUGAAAUCCCAUGGCUCAACCAUGGAAUUGCAUUUGAAACUGGAAGUCUUGAGUGUGGGAGAGAUUGGUAGAAUACCUGGUGUAGUGGUGAAAUACGUAGAUAUCAGGUGGAAUACCGGUGGCGAAGGCGGCCAAUUGGCCCAACACUGACGCUGAGAUACGAGAGCGUGGGGAUCAAACAGG